rnacentral:rRNA from 1 species
CCAAUAGCGUAUAUUAAGGUUGUUGCAGUUAAAAAGCUCGUAGUUGAAUUUCGGGGUUAGUAGGUUGGUCAUGCCUCUGGUAUGUACUGGUCUCACUGAUUCCUCCUUCCUGAUGAGCCGUAAUGCCAUUAAUUUGGUGUUGCGGGGAAUUUGGACUGUUACUUUGAAAAAAUUAGAGUGUUUAAAGCAAGCUAACGCUUGAAUACAUUAGCAUGGAAUAAUGAAAUAGGACGUUCGAUCCUAUUUUGUUGGUUUCUAGGAUUGACGUAAUGAUUAAUAGGGAUAGUUGGGGGCAUUAGUAUUCAAUUGUCAGAGGUGAAAUUCUUGGAUUUAUUGAAGACUAACUACUGCGAAAGCAUUUGCCAAGGAUGUUUUCAUUAAUCAAGAACGAAAGUUAGGGGAUCGAAGACGAUCAGAUACCGUCGUAGCCUUAACCAUAAACUAUGCCGACUAGGGAUCGGAUGAUGUUAAUUUUUUAAUGACUCAUUCGGCGCCUUACG